rnacentral:rRNA from 1 species
UACGUAGGGUGCAAGCGUUAAUCGGAAUUACUGGGCGUAAAGCGUGCCGCAGGCGGUUGUGUAAGACAGAUGUGAAAUCCCCGGGCUCAACCUGGGAACUGCAUUUGUGACUGCGCAGCUGGAGUGCGGCAGAGGGGGAUGGAAUUCCGCGUGUAGCAGUGAAAUGCGUAGAUAUGCGGAGGAACACCGAUGGCGAAGGCAAUCCCCUGGGCCUGCACUGACGCUCAUGCACGAAAGCGUGGGGAGCAAACAGGAUUAGAACUACCGUAGUCAG